CCCCUUUGGGGGUACUCGAGUGGCGAACGGGUGAGUAACACGUGAGUAACCUGCCCUUGACUUCGGGAUAACUUCAGGAAACUGGGGCUAAUACCGGAUAGGAAUCCUUGCUGCAUGGUGGGGGUUGGAAAGCUUCGGCGGUUUUGGAUGGACUCGCGGCUUAUCAGCUUGUUGGUGGGGUAGUGGCUUACCAAGGCUUUGACGGGUAGCCGGCCUGAGAGGGCGACCGGCCACAUUGGGACUGAGAUACGGCCCAGACUCCUACGGGAGGCAGCAGUGGGGAAUAUUGCACAAUGGGCGGAAGCCUGAUGCAGCAACGCCGCGUGCGGGAUGACGGCCUUCGGGUUGUAAACCGCUUUCAGCAGGGGCGAAGCUUGUGGUGACGGUACCUGCAGAAGAAGCACCGGCUAACUACGUGCCAGCAGCCGCGGUGAUACGUAGGGUGCGAGCGUUGUCCGGAUUUAUUGGGCGUAAAGAGCUCGUAGGUGGUUGAUUGCGUCGGAAGUGAAAACUUGGGGCUUAACCCUGAGCGUGCUUUCGAUACGGGUUGACUUGAGGAAGGUAGGGGAGAAUGGAAUUCCUGGUGGAGCGGUGGAAUGCGCAGAUAUCAGGAGGAACACCAGUGGCGAAGGCGGUUCUCUGGACCUUUCCUGACGCUGAGGAGCGAAAGCGUGGGGAGCGAACAGGCUUAGAUACCCUGGUAGUCCACGCUGUGAACGGUGGGUACUAGGUGUGGGGUCCAUUCCACGGAUUCCGUGCCGUAGCUAACGCAUUAAGUACCCCGCCUGGGGAGUACGGCCGCAAGGCUAAAACUCAAAGGAAUUGACGGGGCCCCGCACAAGCGGCGGAGCAUGCGGAUUAAUUCGAUGCAACGCGAAGAACCUUACCUGGGUUUGACAUGGACUGGGAGUGCUCAGAGAUGGGUAUGCCUCCUUGUGGGGCUGGUUCACAGGUGGUGCAUGGCUGUCGUCAGCUCGUGUCGUGAGAUGUUGGGUUAAGUCCCGCAACGAGCGCAACCCUCGUUCACUGUUGCCAGCACGUUAUGGUGGGGACUCAGUGGAGACCGCCGGGGUCAAC
rnacentral:rRNA from 1 species